CCUACGUGAGGCAGCAGUAGGGAAUAUUGCACAAUGGGGGAAACCCUGAUGCAGCGACGCCGCGUGGGGGAGGAAGUAUUUCGGUUUGUAAACCCCUAUUAUUAGAGAAGAUAAUGACGGUAUCUAACGAAUAAGCCCCGGCUAACUACGUGCCAGCAGCCGCGGUAAUAUGUAGGGUGCAAGCGUUACUCGGAUUUACUGGGCGUAAAGAGCGCGUAGGCGGGUUAUCAAGUCAGAAGUGAAAUCCUAUGGCUUAACCAUGGAACUGCAUUUGAAACUGUUUAUCUAGAGUACAGGAGAGGUAAGUGGAAUGCUUGGUGUAGGGGUGAAAUGCGUAGAUAUUAAGAGGAACACUAGUGGCGAAGGCGACUUACUAGAACAUAACUGACGUUGAGGCGCGAAAGCGUGGGGAGCAAACAGGAUUAGAUACCCCAGUAGUC
rnacentral:rRNA from 1 species